rnacentral:snRNA from 1 species
ACUCAUACUUGGUAGGGGAGAUACCGCUGUUGUAAAAGUUGUUUUCCUGCUGUAAGGCUCAUCUAUUGUAUUCUGGAUGUGCUGACCCCUGUGAUUUUCCCAAAUGUGGGGAAAUCAACUGCCUAAGUGGGGGACUAUGUUUGUGGUUUCUCCUG